GUGCUCACUUCAGCAGCAUACAUACUGAAAUUGGAAUGAUACAGAGAAGAUUAGUAUGGCCCCUGAGCAAGAAUUCUUAUUAUAAAAGCCUCCCCCCUUUUAU